GACGAACUGUCCUAACGUUGUUCGGAAUCACUGGGCUUAAAGGGCGCGUAGGCGGUCAGCACAAGUCAGUUGUGAAAUCUCCGGGCUUAACUCGGAAAGGUCAACUGAUACUGUGCGACUAGAGUGCAGAAGGGGCAACUGGAAUUCUCGGUGUAGCGGUGAAAUGCGUAGAUAUCGAGAGGAACACCUGCGGCGAAGGCGGGUUGCUGGGCUGACACUGACGCUGAUGCGCGAAAGCCAGGGGAGCGAACGGG
rnacentral:rRNA from 1 species